GAUGAAGAACGUAGUGAAAUGCGAUAAGUAAUGUGAAUUGCAGAAUUCAGUGAAUCAUCGAAUCUUUGAACGCACCUUGCGCUCCUUGGUAUUCCGAGGAGCAUGCCUGUUUGAGUGUCAUUAAAUUCUCAACCUCACCCGUUUUCUGAACGGGUCGAGGCUUGGAUGUGGGGGUUUGUGCAGGCUGCCUCACUGGCGGUCUGCUCCCCUGAAAUGCAUUAGCGAGGUUCAUGCUGAACUUCCGUCUAUUGGUGUGAUAAUUAUCUACGCCGUGGACGAGGAUCAGACUCGCUUCUAACUGUCCGCGAGGACAAUACCUUGACAAUUUGACCUCAAAUCAGGUAGGACUACCCGCUGAACUUAAGCAUAUCAAUAAGCGGAGGG
rnacentral:misc_RNA from 1 species